UCCAACCCGUUAGACUCGCGAGCGACUCAUCCCAGACACGAACACGAUGACGCGAGGGCUGCCGCCGCCGCCGCCGCCGCCGUUGCAACCUCGAUGGGCGGCUCUUCCCAUGCCGCAGACAUCGCCACGGGCGAAUCCGCCAUCGGCCCCCGCCACGGCCCCCCUACACCCCGGCGCUGUUGGGACCUUCGCCGGCAAUGAGCAGCCAGCAGAUUGUAGUACCCAUGAUGACAUAGCUGGAUGUAUUAUGGGAGAUGAAGAUGAUGAUGAGAUCUAACUCAGAUCUAAAAGACCAGUUGGUACCUUGCAGUAUUUGGACCUUUAUUUUCAAUAAGUACCGUCUGGCACAUCAUUUAUAUGUUGUAGAAUGGAAGCAGUCUUUGUCCCUUUGUCAUGCUAUCAUGAUGAAAAGUGAAUAUUUCUUGGUAGUUUGGAAGAAUGCUUCUUCCUCAAUCUUAUUACUCAACAUGCGGCAGGAAACAUCAAGCUUUUGCAAGGCUACAAUAGUGAAAAGUGACACGAGUUGAAGUAAUCAUUGAUAGGCAAUAUGUUUGAGUUUAAUACCAUUGAUGAAUCUAUUACAAACUUGUGAUGAUAUGGAUGGCAGUCACCUUUUUUAUUUUUUUAGUUUGUUGUAUGAACUUGUGAUGACACUGCAAGGUUGCAAAUGCCUCUUAUUUAUAUUUCCCUUGUCUUAUUGUACCACUUUCUAAAACAUUUGGAACUAUACUGCAGUCAGCAGCAGCAUGUAAUUAAGUAGUAAGUAGCAGUUUGCUUAUUGCCUUAGAAUUAUUCAGAGAUUUCCCUUUUAGAUCAAGACUUAAGAGCACUGAAUUAUAUUGCAACUAGCAA